GACAGAGGGUGCAAACGUUGUUCGGAAUUACUGGGCGUAAAGCGUGUGUAGGCGGUCCUAAAAGUCGGACGUGAAAGCCCCGGGCUCAACCCGGGAAGUGCGCUCGAUACUGUAGGACUUGAGUGUCGGAGAGGUUGGUAGAAUUCUCGGUGUAGAGGUGAAAUUCGUAGAUAUCGAGAGGAAUACCGGCGGCGAAGGCGGCCAACUGGACGAACACUGACGCUGAGACACGAAAGCGUGGGGAGCAAAC
rnacentral:rRNA from 1 species